rnacentral:rRNA from 1 species
UGGGGAAUAUUGGACAAUGGGCGCAAGCCUGAUCCAGCCAUGCCGCGUGAGUGAUGAAGGCCCUAGGGUUGUAAAGCUCUUUCACCGGUGAAGAUAAUGACGGUAACCGGAGAAGAAGCCCCGGCUAACUUCGUGCCAGCAGCCGCGGUAAUACGAAGGGAGCUAGCGUUGUUCGGAAUCACUGGGCGUAAAGCGCACGUAGGCGGAUAGUUAAGUCAGGGGUGAAAUCCUGGGGCUCAACCCCAGAACUGCCUUUGAUACUGGCUGUCUCGAGGUCGAGAGAGGUUGGUGGAAUUCCUAGUGUAGAGGUGAAAUUCGUAGAUAUUAGGAAGAACACCAGUGGCGAAGGCGGCCAACUGGCUCGAUACUGACGCUGAGGCACGAAAGCGUGGGGAGCGAACAGGAUUAGAUACCCACGUAGUCCCUGAGCGGGCUGGCAAGGCGCAU